UGUGUCCUUUAUUUAAUUGGUACAAAGAAUAUUCCCACUUGCAUACUGCUGCUACUAUCUGAUUGUGUCUCCCACCGUUGCAGAAAAAAGCUGUGACUGCUCUGGACUCUUCUUCUUAGUAUCAUUCAUUCCACUCCAACAUAUCCAAUUCACUCAAACUCAAUAAUGGCUCUGCAGGAAGAAGGGGUGGCCUUUGGGUUUGAGACUAUUGAAUGGAAGAAAUGGUGAUUUCUCUGGAUCAGUCUCCUUCAGCAGAAUCAGCACUAUCCUCACUGCUUCUCCCACCCCUUCAACUGAGUCUUCCUCAGAUCUUGACUCACAGUCGACAGGAUCAUUCUUCCGCGACAAGAGCAUCACUCUUGGCAGCCUUAUUGGUAUUUCUAGCUUCCUAGAACUCUCAAGGAGAUCAACCAGGGGAAGAAUGGUGGAACCCUCAAAGGACAACAAAAAGAAUCACAAGCUGAGGACUUGAUUUGGUUGUUUUCACUUUGUUCAAAGCUAACUACUGAUGCAGUGAGCGUGAAUGUUGCUCCCUCUCUUGGUCACUAUCUUGUGGCAGAGAGAAGAGCUGAAAGUACUCACAGAAGGAAUAAUCAAUGUUCAACCAUUUAUGGACCUAAUGAUUUCUUCCCAAUUCGAGAGUCAAACUCGCUAUUUGUUGGUGGCCAAGGUGCUCAUAGUUCAUCGACUUCAUUAGGUGAAGAUUGUGGAAGAGAGCCAAAUAAAGUAUUGGAUCAAAGCAAUGGAUAUGCAGCGCCAAUAAUUUGUUGCGUGUGCAGAUAAAUCAACAAAUGAUGAUCCUUUGAUACUCAUUUCCUUUCGUUCCAAGGAUCUUGGAGUUCGUUAACUGUUGAUUUAUAAUCUCAAUUUUUCUCUCUUGUUUGGUCACUAAUUUUCAAGGACUUGGAUAAUCUAUUUUUGGCUCCAUACUAAAUUUGCUAAACAAUUGCCACGGAUGAAAGCAGUUGAUUACGAAUUGAAAUAUUAUGUAAAGCUUCCAAAGAGAAUCCAGAGCUCAAGUUUUUUUUUUCUAAUUCAAAUGGAUAAAUAGAUGUCACAGACAAUACUCCAAUUUUAUUUUAUUUUUCAAAUUAGAAGGGUGCAAAAGUCAUUUUAAAACUUAACCAUUUUAUUUUCACUCUAUUUUUUACCUAUUUCUCUUAAGUCAACUAACUCAACAUUCAAUUUUAUUUGUACUCCAUUUUUCCGUUUUCAAAUCAUCUAUCAUCUAUUUUUAUCUACUAUAUUUCUCUCCUCUAAACCAAACAAUCCCUUAAUGUUGUUUUGGGAGGGCUAGUAGGUGUUACUGCUAUGACUUUAUUAUUUGUAUAGGCGUGUAGUUAGGCAAACUUUAUUAUUUGUAUAUUGUAUAUUUCUGGAUGCUUGUAC